CGCAGCGCGCAGCUGCCUGCGCGGGAAGGGCCCAGCAGGGCCGGGCGCACCCUGGCAGCGGGCCGUGUGCAGCCAGCACGGGCGGCGGCGCCCGGAGGCGCUCAGUGACCCCGGCUGGGGUGCGCCACGUUGAGGCAACGCUUGUGAUCGCAGAGACUGCCGUUUGCAGUCGUGGGGUCUUGUGCACUUUAAUGCCAACUUCAAUUUCGUGUCACUGUAUCAGCUUUCUUUUUUUGCCGCUGCCUUCUUGCCCUUAACAUGAACGUGAUAGUGAAGUCGCUGGCCUAUUCCCAGAAGAUGGGAAAGACAUUAAAGAUGAAGGAUUGAGAGUGGGAGACUCACAACUUAAGUUUUUGAAAUAUUCUGCAAAAUGGAUUCUGUGAUAACCAUAUGUUCUGACAUAUAAUUUCUAACCAUUUCAGAAGUGGGAUAAAUGGAGCAUUUGGAAUCGGUAGGGAGGAUGGCUGACACCAUGCACCUUGCCUGGUAUGGUUCUGCUGUGGAGGAGCCUUCACGCUAAAGAAAAAAAAUGUUGAAAACUUUACGGUCCCUUUCAGAGGCAAAAAUCCUUGUUUCUGGUGUAUGUGCUUCCUGACUUUCUUGGUGCUGAAU